rnacentral:rRNA from 1 species
GUCCACGCCGUAAACGAUGAGAACUUGACGUUGGUUCGUUUUACGAAUCGGUGUCGCAGCUAACGCGAUAAGUUCUCCGCCUGGGGAGUACGGCCGCAAGGUUGAAACUCAAAGGAAUUGACGGGGGCCCGCACAAGCGGUGGAGUAUGUGGUUUAAUUCGAUGCAACGCGAAGAACCUUACCUGGUCUUGACAUCUACGGAAGUCUGCAGAGAUGCGGAUGUGCCUUCGGGAGCCGUAAGACAGGUGCUGCAUGGCU